rnacentral:rRNA from 1 species
UACGAAGGGGGCUAGCGUUGCUCGGAAUUACUGGGCGUAAAGGGAGCGUAGGCGGACAUUUAAGUCAGGGGUGAAAUCCCAGAGCUCAACUCUGGAACUGCCUUUGAUACUGGGUGUCUUGAGUGUGAUAGAGGUAAGUGGAACUCCGAGUGUAGAGGUGAAAUUCGUAGAUAUUCGGAAGAACACCAGUGGCGAAGGCGACUUACUGGAUCAUUACUGACGCUGAGGCUCGAAAGCGUGGGGAGCAAACAGG